GAGGCUGAAGUAUCCGCCAUUUUGAAAGUGUCAUUCGAAAGUUCGAAAGAUAUUUUGCAGUUAUUACUGAGUUAUCAGUGCUUAUUUGUGUGUUUAUUAUCUCUGUUAUCCUGUGUUGUUACACAUAUGGACGAUUUGUUGUGCAUUUGUGAGAACAAACGAGUGUUAUACCUUGAAGUGUCAUCAUGUUCCCAACUUUUCGGAGAGAUUCAAAGGGAAGUGUCAUCCUCACAGACACCAAGGCUGCUACACUGGUGAAGUCGGAGAAACGGCAGUGGGCGAAACCGGAGAAAUAUGAGGAGGUGAAGUGUGCCGCUCGUCGCCAGUGUAGGGAGGCAGGUGGGGAUGAAAACCAGCCAAAACAAUGGAUGGGGUUUCUCCGAAUGCAGUGGGGUUCAUUCAGGUAAGAUAUGGCGAUAUAAUUAAUUCACAGAUAA
rnacentral:lncRNA from 1 species